AUUGAACGCUGGCGGCAUGCCUUACACAUGCAAGUCGAACGGCAGCACGGACUUCGGUCUGGUUGCGAGUGGCGAACGGGGGAGUAAUGUAUCGGAACGUACCUUUCAGUGGGGAAUAACGUAGCGAAAGAUACGCUAAUACUGCAGAUUCUGUGAGCAGGAAAGCAGGGGAUCGAAAGACAGUGCGCUGGGUGAGCGGUCGAUAUCAGAUUAGCUAGUUGGUGGGGUAAAGGCCUACCAAGGCGACGAUCUGUAGCGGGUCUGAGAGGAUGAUCCGCCACACUGGAACUGAGACACGGUCCAGACGCCUACGGGAGGCAGCAGUGGGGAAUUUUGGACAGUGGGGGCAACCCUGAUCCAGCCAUGCCGCGUGAGUGAAGAAGGCCUUCGGGUUGUAAAGCUCUUUCGGCCGGGAAGAAAUCGCAUAGGCUAAUACCCUGUGUGGAUGACGGUACCGGAAUAAGAAGCACCGGCUAACUACGUG
rnacentral:rRNA from 1 species